rnacentral:rRNA from 1 species
AUACGUAGGUGACAAGCGUUAUCCGGAUUUACUGGGCGUAAAGGGCGUGUAGGCGGUCUUGCAAGUCAGAAGUGAAAUUCCUGAGCUCAACUCGGGCGCUGCUUCUGAAACUGCAGGACUUGAGUGCUGGAGGGGAUAGCGGAAUUCCUAGUGGAGCGGUAAAAUGCGCAGAUAUUAGGAAGAACACCGGUGGCGAAGGCGGCUAUCUGGACAGUAACUGACGCUGAGGCGCGAAAGCGGGGGGAGCAAACAGGAUUAGAUCCCCUGGUAGUCCACGCCGUAAACGAUGAGCACUAGCUGUUGGGGCCGAAUGGUCUCAGUGGCGCAGUUAACGCAAUAAGUGCUCCGCCUGGGGAGUACGCGCGCAAGCGUAAAACUCAAAUGAAUUGACGGGG